GUCCAGAGCGGAACUGGACCGAGGUGCCAAGUCGCUCUACCUGGAUGAGGCCAAACUGGAAGGGGAUUCGCCCUGUACAUUGGCACAGAAACUGGAUCUCCUAAAUUGGACGACCUGAAAACUAGAACUUGCCUCCAGCGUUCAGUUAAGUUUCAAAUGACUCUCCACUGUUCCCAAAGGGUGAGGACUUUGGGAGCUGUGGAAAUGGAAAAAAGAUUUUGAAGAGCAGGGGGCAAGCCUCCCUUAAUCUGACAGAGUUAGGUGUUAGCUAUGUAUUGAAUUAAAGCAGUGUACCCCCACAAGCCUGUCAUUUCACCUGAGAUCUUUAUACCUAUGUUGAUAUGCACGUUAGUAUGGGAGGCUACAUGUGAGCGGAUAACCCGCGACGUUACAAAGUUUUGGUGAUCUCGAUUCAGACUGUUUUCUCACGUACUGUAAAAUCCUAAAACCCAGGAAUCUUGUAAGGGGUAAAAGAGGUGAUGUUUCUGAACACGGGAGACUUUCUCCAGACAAGAAAACAUUUGAGUGCUAGAUGACUACCACUGAGAAGCCAGCAGCAACUUUGGUGUCAGAUCUAACCCAAGAGGUGAAUGACCCUCAAGGGAACAAUUUCUGAAUGACAGAACCACGCGUGGAUCCCAAGGCCUAAGCGCAUAAACUACAAAGAGGAACACAACUAGGCAAAGGUAAAUACCCAUGACAGAAGCCAGACAAUGCAACAGAUAGAAAAGUAAAAGUAACAAAACAAAAAACAAAAACAAAAAAACCAGAAUAGAAAUCCAGAAAGAUUAUCUCCUAGUCACACUGAGAAUUUGUUCAAACCAAAGAAUUAACACAAAGUUCAGUCACAGAAUUGGGUUCCUUUUACUCUCUCAGAAUUCCAGAUAAAACUUUGAACGUUUUAAGAAGACUCUAGCAUGAAACAAUAUUUCAAAGAACUUCAUGCAACAUGUCUGCGUCCCAUAAAACGUGCUUAUAGAAGACCAGAACUUGGGGAUAGCUCUGCUAUGGAUCCUGACAUAGCCUGGGAAGCUUUUCUUUGUCUGCAUGAAUGUAUUUGAAAAGAAACCUAGAGAAAGGGGCACCUGGUGGCUCAGUUGGUUAACUGCCUGACUUUGGCUCUGGUCAUGAUCUUGUGGUUCAUGAGUUUAAGCCCCACAUCAGGCUCUGUAUUCACAGUGCAGAGCCUGCUUGGGAUUCUCUCUCUUUCUCUUUCUCUGCCCCUCCCCAAUUCAUGCUUUCUCUUUCUCUCAAAAUAAAUAAAUAAACUGAAAAAAGAUCUAGAGAAGACGGCCGUAAGAGAAUUCAGACUCAAAGACAAGCUAUGGGUAGACAGAGAAAGAAGGUAUCAUAUUCUAUAGUUUCUUUUUUUCCUGACCUGGACACCUAAUAUUGUGUAUCAAGAAAGACUAUUAAACACCUCCUAGGUAAUUUCAAAA